rnacentral:rRNA from 1 species
AAUGAACGCUGGCGGCGUGCCUAACACAUGCAAGUCGAAUGUGCCGCAAGGUGCAUGGCAGACGGGUGAGUAACGCGUGGGCAAUCUACCUAUCAGUGGGGAAUAACGAUCCGAAAGGAUUGGUAAUACCGCAUGUGACCAUCGACUGGGAUGUUGGUGGUGAAACCUGGGGACCGCAAGGCCUGGGGCUGAUAGAGGAGCCUGCGUCUGAUUAGCUAGUUGGCGGGUAACGGCCCACCAAGGCGACGAUCAGUAGCCGGCCUGAGAGGGUGAUCGGCCACACUGGAACUGAGACACGGUCCAGACUCCUACGGAGGCAGCAGUGGGGAAUUUUGCGCAAUGGACGAAAGUCUGACGCAGCAACGCCGCGUGGGUGAUGAAGGUCUUCGGAUUGUAAAACCCUGUCGUCGAGGACGAAGGUGGGGGCGUUAAGUAGACGCUUCUAGCUUGACGGUACUCGGAGAGGAAGCCCCGGCUAACUCUGUGCCAGCAGCCGC